CACGUAGGGCGCAAGCGUUGUCCGGAAUUAUUGGGCGUAAAGAGCUCGUAGGCGGUCUGUUGCGUCUGCUGUGAAAACUCGGGGCUUAACCCCGAGCCUGCAGUGGAUACGGGCAGACUAGAGGUAGGUAGGGGAGAAUGGAAUUCCCGGUGUAGCGGUGAAAUGCGCAGAUAUCGGGAGGAACACCGGUGGCGAAGGCGGUUCUCUGGGCCUUACCUGACGCUGAGGAGCGAAAGCGUGGGGAGGCGAACAGGAUUAGAAACCCUUGGUAAGU
rnacentral:rRNA from 1 species